rnacentral:tRNA from 2 species
GCCCGCGUCGGGAUGGCGACCGGCCGCGCUUCAAGCGCGACGACCGCGAGGGCGGCGACAAGCGCCCGUUCAAGCCGCGCGGCGAGCG